UGAGGAAUAUUGCGCAAUGGGGGCAACCCUGACGCAGCGACGCCGCGUGAGUGAGGAAGGCCUUCGGGUCGUAAAGCUCUGUCAAAGGGAAAGAAGUGCAUGGUGGCUAAUACCUGCCAUGUUUGACGGUACCCUUAAAGGAAGCACCGGCUAACUCCGUGCCAGCAGCCGCGGUAAUACGGAGGGUGCAAGCGUUGUUCGGAAUCACUGGGCGUAAAGGGCGCGCAGGCGGUUUGGUAAGUCAGAUGUGAAAGCCCACGGCUUAACCGUGGAAGUGCAUUUGAUACUGUCAGACUUGAGUACCAGAGGGGAAAGUGGAAUUCCCGGUGUAGAGGUGAAAUUCGUAGAUAUCGGGAGGAAUACCGGUGGCGAAGGCGACUUUCUGGCUGAGUACUGACGCUGAGGCGCGAAAGCGUGGGGAGCAAACA
rnacentral:rRNA from 1 species